rnacentral:rRNA from 1 species
AACGAACGCUGGCGGCAGGCUUAACACAUGCAAGUCGAGCGCCCCGCAAGGGGAGCGGCAGACGGGUGAGUAACGCGUGGGAAGCUACCCAUCUCUACGGAAUAACGCAUGGAAACGUGUGCUAAUACCGUAUACGUCCUUCGGGAGAAAGAUUUAUCGGAGAUGGAUGAGCCCGCGUUGGAUUAGCUAGUUGGUGGGGUAAAGGCCUACCAAGGCGACGAUCCAUAGCUGGUCUGAGAGGAUGAUCAGCCACACUGGGACUGAGACACGGGCCAGACUCCUACGGGAGGCAGCAGUGGGGAAUAUUGGACCAUGGGCGCAAGCCUGAUCCAGCCAUGCCGCUUGAGUGAUGAAGGCCCUAGGGUUGUAAAGCUCUCUCACCGGUGAAGAUAAUGACGGUAACCGGAGAAGAAGCCCCGGCUAACUUCGUGCAGCCGCCGCGGUAAAAC